CAAUACAUAAUAAUAAAAUGAGCAUGUUGCAUUGGUUCAUAUCUGCAGAGGUGUAUGCACAUUUUGGCAAUCACUAAAUGUUCUUCUUUCAUAAGAAAUCACUAAAUGUUCUUCCUGAUGUACAGUCUGGAGCUUGCAAACCAGAAUGACAUACACUCGAAGCCCUCAAAUCACCAACAUUACUUAGUGCAUCAAGUUUGUUAUGAAACAAAAAAGGAAAAUGCUACCAGCACAUAUGGGACAAGGGGAUCGACACAUCAAACCAAAACUCCCUUUUGGCUACUUGUAUCUUCUGGCCUUUCAGAAAAAGGUGCACCUUCAUAUUUCUUAUAUAAAAUAACACUCCUACAACAGGUGCCAUACUCGAGUUACUAUUAGUUAAAAGUGUUAUUUUCUCAAGACUUGAAGAAGCAAAUAGUACAGUUCAGUUGAGAUGACCAGAAAGGUAUGGUCAAAGUUGCAACCUAUUAAACCACCAUCCGUACAGCUUAGUCGAGAUAAGACCAUCCAUACAGCUUAGUGGAGAUACGACCAUCCAUCUUUCUCUGAAAUAAUCUAUAGUUUAAGAGCAAAAUCUCACUAUAAAAGGCAGAUCAUACCAAGCUUUAGUAUCUGGAACACAAUAUAUCUGUAAUUUAAGCUUUGCAUCGGCCAACAAAAAAGAGAAAUACAUGUAUGUUCCAUGUGUAUAAAUCUAUAAUUUAACAUGACUAUCUGAGAAAUCAAUUCACUUCUCUCUGCACACUUGGUUGAAAUGUUGCAGUAUUUACCAUUAGCAAAUGACCAUGAGCAAGAAAAAUAGCCACCUCAAGUCUGAAUGAGAUCCGAAUGAAUAAAAAUAGCCACUCCAAAUCUAAAUCAGACCCGCAAGAAUUUAUGAACUGCAUGUUUCGGCUCAAUCUAGUUAGGAUUUAGAUUGGCAGGUGCAUGUGUUACCAAAAUCAAAAAUAAUGUACAGAUUUGGGUUCAUGGAUUCACUUGGGAAUUAUGAGUUAGAUGCAAAGGGAAUGCAACAAAUUUAUCUAGAUAGAAGUGGAUGUAUUCAUGCAUGUAUGGACAAACUCAUGAGACAUGACAUAUAUAUUAAGAACUCAUCUGGUGUUUUUUGUGGUGAUGAAGCAAAGACAUUACGGAUCAUUGGAAUUGGAGGGAAUAUGGACUAACCUGAUACAUGACAUAAUUAGAAGAGACAGCGGCGGACAGCGAGGGCUCCUGACUUGUCCCAUCCUGCCCUAUCAGCAGGCGACCUGUGGUGGAUCUUACA
rnacentral:lncRNA from 1 species